rfam:Podospora anserina genomic DNA, chromosome 4.
GCCUGCUUGGCGCAGUGGUAACGCGUUCCACUUGUAUGGCUCUUGCAGCCUCAGUCAAUGGAAAGAUCAUUGGUUCGAUUCCAGUAGUAGGCA